rnacentral:ncRNA from 2 species
AUACGAACAGGGAAUGAAGUUCUCCCUUGGGUAACCAAAACCGCGUAAAACGCUGAUGACUUCUAUGGCUUU